GUAGUCGGAUUCACAUCAAUCCACAUGUGUUGAAGUGGAUUAGAGUGGAAUUUAAACUAAAUUCCACACCAACACACAUGGAUUGAAGUGAAUUCGACA
rfam:Sorghum bicolor cultivar BTx623 chromosome 9, whole genome shotgun sequence.